rnacentral:piRNA from 1 species
CCUGUUACUCCUCAUCUACGAAGUC